CAUUUGACCUGAAUGGCACCCUAUUCCCUACAUAGUGCACUACAUUUGACCAGAAUGGCACCCUAUUCCCUACAUUUGACCAGAAUCUAGGUCUAGUCUGACUGUACAUCAGCCUCCAGGUCUAGUCUGACUGUACAUCAGGUCUAGUCUGACUGUACAUCAGCCUCCAGGUCUAGUCUGACUGUACAUCAGGUCUAGUCUGACUGUACAUCAGCCUCCAGGUCUAGUCUGACUGUACAUCAGCCUCCAGGUCUAGUCUGACUGUACAUCAGGUCUAGUCUGACUGUACAUCAGCCUCCAGGUCUAGUCUGACUGUACAUCAGGUCUAGUCUGACU